rnacentral:rRNA from 1 species
ACACUCCUGCGGGAGGCAGCAGUAGGGAAUCUUCCACAAUGGGUGCAAACCUGAUGGAGCAAUGCCGCGUGAGUGAAGAAGGUCUUCGGAUCGUAAAGCUCUGUUGUUAGAGAAGAACACGUGCUAGGUAACUACUAGCGCCUUGACGGUAUCUAACCAGAAAGUCACGGCUAACUACGUGCCAGCAGCCGCGGUAAUACGUAGGUGACAAGCGUUGUCCGGAUUUAUUGGGCGUAAAGGGAGCGCAGGCGGUCUGUUUAGUCUAAUGUGAAAGCCCACGGCUUAACCGUGGAACGGCAUUGGAAACUGACAGACUUGAAUGUAGAAGAGGAAAAUGGAAUUCCAAGUGUAGCGGUGGAAUGCGUAGAUAUUUGGAGGAACACCAGUGGCGAAGGCGAUUUUCUGGUCUAACAUUGACGCUGAGGCUCGAAAGCGUGGGGAGCGAACAGGAUUAGAUACCCGAGUAGUCCCAU